GUAAUGUAUGUAUUGCAAUGAGGUCGCGUCUAAAUCUUGGAUAUUUAAACCAAAUAAACAUAUUAACUCGAGAGAUCGUUUUUGAAAGGUCACCACAUAUUUGUCGUUGCUCUCUUAAUGUAGAGGACAAUAUUUAAACUUCACAUGUAUUGUUGGUAAGCCAUACGCAGUUGUUGGUGAACCAGGUUUCUAUAAUUAGACUGUGCCAGCACGUUGUUUAUCAUAAUAAUCAACGUCUUCACAUACAUAAGAAGUACCAGUUUGAAGUAUUUUCAGGCAGUACACACGCGUCUAAAAUGAACGAAUUCGUAAUGCUGGUGUACUUGGCCGUUUUUUCCCUGUUUGUGGCCUAUUUUAAUUAUCUUGCCAUGCUGUUCGGUUUAUUGACAUCACUUGUAUUCGGCGCAAUUGGACCAUUUUUAUUAACAAAUCUUGGAUUUACCAGACGUGGGAUUCAGCGCGGCACCGUAGCGUCCUACAUCAGCUCUGCAGCCAAGAAGACCAGACUUACUCGUAAGAUCUUUGGGUUACUCCAGUCGCUCGGCGUUACUCAGGACUACAUGAAAAUAACGCAUCUAGGUGGCUUCCUCGGCGGCUGUUCUGUCAUACUGAUACAGUUGGUGAUUGGUCUGUAUGAUGCCGGGGAUUAACUGUACAAGCUCACUGUUCAGCACCAACAUCGACAACCAUCGCUCAACCUCACCAUCACACACCGCCAUCAAACACCAACAUCGAAUACCAUCAUGAGAAACCUUUACCAGGCACCAACAUCAAACACACCACUGUUCAACACCGCCAAGACGAGUUCGAAUAGUUAGCUAAACACUAGAUUUUAUUAAGGAAACUAUACUAACGUUUUCUACUAUCAGGGGAAAUAGGCUAAAUCUUGUGCCUGUCUUAUAUGUUACUAUUGUUAGGAACAAUGAUCUAAAAAUAACAGAUGUGUUUAGAAAAAAAGUGGAUUUAUCAAAAUAGAAAAGCUACUCAUUAACAAAAUCAAUUCAAGUCUAUAAUUUAUUAUGUAUUUAUAAAUUUAAAAUAUUUAAGUGGACAACUUGUAAUGGAUAAUAAUACCAUACAUUCCAUCAUAUUAUUAUGUGCAGCUUUAUCAAUAAGUUAUUUAAAUGUAAAAACAAAAUAUAUUUUUUUCUAACACG